rnacentral:rRNA from 1 species
AUUGAACGCUGGCGGCAGGCCUAACACAUGCAAGUCGAACGGUAACAGGAAGCAGCUUGCUGCUUUGCUGACGAGUGGCGGACGGGUGAGUAAUGUCUGGGAAACUGCCUGAUGGAGGGGGAUAACUACUGGAAACGGUAGCUAAUACCGCAUAACGUCGCAAGACCAAAGAGGGGGACCUUAGGGCCUCUUGCCAUCGGAUGUGCCCAGAUGGGAUUAGCUAGUAGGUGGGGUAACGGCUCACCUAGGCGACGAUCCCUAGCUGGUCUGAGAGGAUGACCAGCCACACUGGAACUGAGACACGGUCCAGACUCCUACGGGAGGCAGCAGUGGGGAAUAUUGCACAAUGGGCGCAAGCCUGAUGCAGCCAUGCCGCGUGUAGGAAGAAGGCCUUCGGGUUGUAAAGUACUUUCAGCGGGGAGGAAGGGAGUAAAGUUAAUACCUUUGCUCAUUGACGUUACCCGCAGAAGAAGCACCGGCUAACUCCGUG